rnacentral:rRNA from 1 species
UACGAAGGGGGCUAGCGUUGUUCGGAUUCAUUGGGCGUAAAGGGUGCGUAGGCGGCGCGGUAAGUCGGGUGUGAAAUCUUGGAGCUUAACUCCGAAACUGCAUUCGAUACUGCCGUGCUUGAGGACUGGAGAGGAGACUGGAAUUUACGGUGUAGCGGUGAAAUGCGUAGAUAUCAGGAGGAACACCUGUGGCGAAAGCGGCUCACUGGACCACAACUGACGCUGAGGCGCGAAAGCGUGGGGAGCAAACAGG